rnacentral:rRNA from 1 species
AUUGAACGCUGGCGGCAGGCUUAACACAUGCAAGUCGAGCGGAGAUGAGGUGCUUGCACCUUAUCUUAGCGGCGGACGGGUGAGUAAUGCUUAGGAAUCUGCCUAUUAGUGGGGGACAACAUUCCGAAAGGAAUGCUAAUACCGCAUACGCCCUACGGGGGAAAGCAGGGGAUCUUCGGACCUUGCGCUAAUAGAUGAGACUAAGUCGGAUUAGCUAGUUGGUGGGGUAAAGGCCUACCAAGGCGACGAUCUGUAGCGGGUCUGAGAGGAUGACCCGCCACACUGGGACUGAGACACGGCCCAGACGCCUACGGGAGGCAGCAGUGGGGAAUAUUGGACAAUGGGCGGAAGCCUGAUCCAGCCAUGCCGCGUGUGUGAAGAAGGCCUUUUGGUUGUAAAGCACUUUAAGCGAGGAGGAGGCUACCUGGAUUAAUACUCUAGGAUAGUGGACGUUACUCGCAGAAUAAGCACCGGCUAACUCUGUGCCAGCCGCCGCGGUAAUAC